CAAUCGUACGCUUUGUGAUGCAACGUAUCGCCAUAUUGUUUGCUACACUACCGCCUUCUGAAGUAAAAAACUUCAGGGUUAUAACCAAGUAUCGUCUCUCCGUUUUCUUGUUAAUGUCCAUGUGAAUUCGUCUUUUUCUCGGGUUACAUUUGCGUCGUAGUGUUGUCCAUUGUACUUUUUAUUUAAAUCACGAACAAAUUUAGCUUCCGUAGUGUUCAUACAAAAGUCGUUGAUGCGCUUUCGUGUGUCUUCAAUAAACGACGUUCAAUCAAGAAUUUCGGAAUAUGGCUGCUGCUGCUGCUGCUGCUCUUCUCGAUGAGCUUAUGGGAAGGAACAGAAACGUUCUUCCCAACGAAAAACCCAAAGAACUUAAUUGGGAGGAUCCUGAGUUUUGCAAAUUGUAUUUAGUCAAAUUUUGCCCUCAUGACUUAUUCGUUAAUACGAGAGCCGAUUUGGGCGCGUGUUCUCGGGUACACGAUGAUGAGGCCAGAGAGCUGUUCGAAAAAGCGCCAUAUUCGUAUCGUAAACAACAGUAUGAAGAUGAAUUUAUUAGGUUUUGUCAAAGUAUGUUGAACGAAGUCGAAAGAAAAAUAAUCAAGGGAAAACAGCGGUUAGCUCUUAUUGGAAGAACAGAAGCGCCUACCUUAACACCAGCACAAACUCAGAGGAAUGAAGAACAAAUUGCACUUUUAACCGAGAAAAUUAACAAGUUAGUAGAAGAAGCAGAACAAAGUGGUAUACAAGGCAACGUAGAACAGGCUCAAGGUUUAAUGAGAUUGUGUGAUCAGUUGAAAGAAGAAAGAGAAACAUUACGAAAAUCUAAUGAUAAUAGUCACUAUAAUCAGACUGCUGAAUUGGCUGCUGCACAAGAAAAACAAAUGGAAGUGUGUGAUGUAUGUGGGGCAUUUCUCAUUGUUGGUGAUGCUCAACAACGAAUUGAUGAUCAUCUAAUGGGGAAGCAACAUGUUGGAUAUGCCAGAUUAAAGAGUGCUCUUCAGGAAAUCAUGAGUAAACGUGAAAAAGCUAGAGAUGAAAAGGAACAAAGGAGAGAAGAAGAUAGAAAGCAAAGAGCACGUGCUAACGAAGAUAUCGAUAGGCGAAGAAGAGACGAUAGAGACAGAGAUCGGGAUCGAGAAAGGGAUAAACGUCGUAGACGCGAUGACGAUAAAGUAUUUAUUAUGUGUAGAAAUUCUGGACAUAGAAGCAGAAGCAGGUCAAGAGAUAAGCACGACAGGCAUCGAGAUGAUGAUCAUCGACGUCAUGCUCGCGAUAAAGGAAGUCGUGAUCAUCGAAGCUCGAGUCACCACAAUCGUCGCCGCCAUCGAUCCAGAAGUCGAAGUCACAAGUAACUACUCUUGAUUGGUUAGUGAGUGAGAACUAAGCCAGGUAUGCACUAAACAAUAUACCAUAUCCGUCUCAAUUACUAUACAGGUUCUUUACCAGGUGAGUUUCAUUAGAUGCACAUAAUGUAUACAUGAUAAUUAUCUGUAAUUUUGAAGAAUGGCAUAGUCACAGCGAGCCAGUCUCUGGUCCUGCCUAUUAAUCGGAGAAACACUCUUACUAAAUUUCAUACGGACCUGAUUGUACAGCGUUUAAUUUUCAAAGUGACGAGCUUGCUCUAUGUAACAUAUUACCGAAAAAAAGGUGCAUCGAGGUAAUGUCGAGCAAGGAUUAGUAAAAUUGUUCCCAUACGAAAGGUAUUUUUAUCAUGUAGUAUUAUAGAUAUUGUCUACAGAGCAAGAUAGGAGAAGGUAUACCUAUGCUUGCUUUGAUCGGUAUAAUGUCUUCAUAGGGUAAAUCAAUUACAUAUAUGAUUUCAACGACUGCAUAGCUUUUUUUUGUCGAAAAGAAAUUAGUGGUUUAGUGGAGGAAACAGUGCCUACUUCCGUAGACCUGCUACAACAGUGCCCUGUGUGACUGUGACUAUACAAUCCUAGCUUCUACUACGCAUUUCUGAGACAGAAGAUAUGCCAUGGGGAUGUAACCGCUACACGGACUCACUUGCACACUG
rnacentral:misc_RNA from 1 species